GCCUCAAAAAAGGCAGGUCAUGUACGUAUUUGAGAAAGAGUUUUUGAAGCCUUGAAAACAGUAACAUUUUAUUUAAAAAUGUUAGAUAAUUUGAUGUUGUCCUUAUAUAGUGUUUUUGUGUCCUCUUAGGUUUGAAUUAGACAUAAACAAGAUCAUAUAUUUUCACGUCAAGUGUACAGUGAGUUUUAUGAUGCAACUAUAUGCUUUUAUCUCGACAAUUAAUGUUUACUGCUUUAAGAUAAAAUACAAAAAGCAGAUUUUAUAGGUUGUCUGCUGUGAGCUGGUGUCGUUGUCGGGAUUUUUGUGGGUCUGUGGUCGGUCAGUGCACAAUCACAGUUGUUUUGUCUUCACCCGGGCUUUGAAUUAAUAAAACACAUCGGUUUCAUUUGGGUGAUUUUCAGGCACACAUCGCCGUUCUUAACAUAGACCUCUGCACAUCUCAGCACCACCGAAAUGCACUAAAAAUUUAUGACCUUAACAUUCCUGCAGGGUCAAGCAAUUUAUCAAAUCCUGCACAUUCUGGUUUCAAUUACACAGCCGAUUGUGGAGAGCGGUUAUUUUAGCAGGUUCAUUUGGCCCAGUGGGGAGGUUGACUCUUUUUUUUUUCUUUUUUCUUGACAUCACAUCCUUUGAAAGCAUUAGAUUCUGGACAGACGCUCAUCGCCCCUGGAYUGUGCAGAUGGCAGGAGAGAAUUUGUCAGGCUGCUGCAAACUGAGCAGAUGAGCUGGCUGACAGCUCCCCACGUUUCUGAGACACUGCUGGGACCAAACCCAAUCCUCCCUCCCUGCAUCACACCAUCUCUGCCUCCAUCUGGCCCUGAUUACUGAGUGAGUGGAAGAAGGGUGGCGCGAGCGGAGGAAGGGGUGGGGGGGAUGUUGGAGGAAGGCAUGGCAACAUUUCACCGCAGGAGAGGGGAGUAAGCGAUGAGAGGAAGGGAGUGGACGGUGCACAACAUGUUGGUACGGAUGAGAUGGAGAAGGGAGACAACAAAAGGUUUCACAAACACCAAUGCGGCGCAGGCCACCAGUGAACCAGCAGCUGAGGCCUGCGAAUGCCGACGGCGCUGCAGCAGGUGCCAGAGGAGAGGGAGAGAGGGCAAUAAACACAACUGCUUUGGACAAUCUGGCCCCUCACAUCAAAUGAUGUGUUUUUGGCGAUGUCCACUUCAGCUGUUCACACAAUCAACACUCAGCAGGCUCUGAGGAUGACAAAGUUUGCCUUUGUCCGUGCCCUCAUGGACACCGGGUGAGAGCAAAGAAAGGAAAAGAAGAGGAGUUUUUUUUUUUUUCCUGUAUCCAUUCUUCUGACCUGAGCCGCUCAUCUUCCUCAGAGCUCAGCGGGAGCUCGGCCAGCCUACCCAGGCUCCUUUUGGUGUGUGUUGCAUCUCAUUAGCAUACAUUUCUCUCUCUCUCUCUCUUUCUGGCUGACGAGGCCUCCGCUCUGGUUAAAGACCCUUCGUCUCUCUGCAGAAUCCCUCCCCAGAAGCCCCUGCUGGGGUCCGCGAAUCCGCCGCCUGAAGGUGGUGGCCGCUGGUGACCGCAUGCUGCUGGGCAAAAAAAAAAAAAAAAAAAAGUCAAGCAGAGCGCGGGUGAGAGGAUGAGGGGAAGGGAAGGACAAACAGGAGGAGAGAGCACGGGGAUGUAUGGGAAGAAAGAGCAACAGUGUCCCUGCAGUGAAAACAAAAGGAGAGGUGGAAAAAAGGAAAAAAAAUCCCAGCCGGGAGAUGGAGAGGAUAAAUGAGUCCUCUGUGAGCAGUAAACCCCUCUCAGCCUCAGUCUCUCUCUCUCUCUUUCUUUCUGACUCCUGAACCAGGCUCCAUUUUGUGUUCAGCAUCUCCCAGUCAUGACAGAUCCCUGCUGGAGUCAGAGGUCAAAGUUGAGAACAGGGUCAGCUGGAACACAACUUGUAAGAGAACUCCACAAACUCCCCUGCAGAAAGCCGCCCGCCCCUCCACAAAUAUCUCACAGCAGACUGCUGCAGGAGCUGCAGGCUGAUGGACUGCUGCACGUUUAAACCUUAUUGUGGAUAAAUCUAAUAAAAAGAGAGAGAGAGCCAGAGUGAAAA